UGAGGAAUAUUGGUCAAUGGGCGGAAGCCUGAACCAGCCAAGUCGCGUGAGGGAAGACGGCCCUACGGGUUGUAAACCUCUUUUGCCGGGGAGCAAUGCCCAGCUCGCGAGCUGGGAAGGAGAGUACCCGGNGAAAAAGCAUCGGCUAACUCCGUGCC
rnacentral:rRNA from 1 species